rnacentral:rRNA from 1 species
GACGAACCGUGCAAACGUUAUUCGGAAUCACUGGGCAUAAAGGGCGCGUAGGCGGCUCCAAAAGUCAGGGGUGAAAUCCGGCAGCUCAACUGUCGAAGUGCCCUUGAUACUGAUGAGCUCGAGGGAGGUAGGGGUCUGUGGAACUUCCGGUGGAGCGGUGAAAUGCGUUGAUAUCGGAAGGAACGCCGGUGGCGAAAGCGACGGACUGGACCUCUUCUGACGCUGAGGCGCGAAAGCCAGGGGAGCAAACGGG